rnacentral:lncRNA from 1 species
UUCUAACAAGUUUUAUUGAUGUUAUUAGUUAGAUCCUAUAAGCAUAAUUUCUAAGUGAAUUAAUACAGAAAAAUAAUUAAUUACUCUCACAUUAGUAGAUAAACAAAAAGACAGAAACAGUUCAGAUUUUCCCCUUUGAGGUCUGUUAGCAUGCUGAAAAGAGGUUAUUGAACAUGUAAGAAUUAAGAUUUGAGUUACCAAC